AGAGGGUGCGAGCGUUGUCCGGAAUCACUGGGCGUAAAGGGCGCGUAGGCGGCCUGAUAAGUAGGGGGUGAAAUCCUGUGGCUUAACUGCAGGGCUGCCUCCUAGACUGUCGGGCUCGAGCACGGUAGAGGCAGAUGGAAUUCCCGGUGUAGCGGUGGAAUGCGUAGAGAUCGGGAAGAGCAUCGGUGGCGAAGGCGGUCUGCUGGGCCGUUGCUGACGCUGAGGCGCGACAGCGUGGGGAGCAAACAGGAUUAGAUACCCUGGUAGUCCACGCCGUAAACGAUGGACACUAGGCGUCGGGGGGAGCGACCCUCUCGGUGCCGUCGCUAACGCAGUAAGUGUCCCGCCUGGGGGGUACGGCCGCAAGGCUG
rnacentral:rRNA from 1 species